rnacentral:lncRNA from 1 species
GGAUUUCUAAUUUUUUUUGAUGCAAAACCCUUUAGUCCCGCACCCGAAUUAUUAGUUCCAGUUGGGAAAACCGAGAUCUUUAAGGUUUCCCAACCAAGACUAUAGUUCAUUUCUCUACUAGUGAUAGAACAAUGUUGACUCAGCUAACAUGGCUCAACGUAGAUUAUAAAAUCUAAGCAAAUCAGGCCUAAAGGCUACUUGUUAGUAUUGUUAAGGUCUGAAAAUUUGAUGUUGAGAUGUUUUUCUUUUUCAAGAAGAAGAACUCUAGGACUUUCUUUAAGCACGUCUCCUACGUCCCAACACACACACACAAAAUUUCUAGGACUUUUUAAAGCAUCUUGAGUAUUAACAUAAGUUGUCAUUCUCAUUCUUGAUACAACAGAUAUCGGACUCAGUGGGCACUUAAUUGACAACCAAUAAUCUUCUUCCAUAGUUUUAACCAACAAGUGCACUGUCAAAAUAUAUAUCACUAUCAAAACUAAACCCUUAUGUAGUCGCACCAUCUGGUCUCAUUUCACAGUUUUCAAAACCGCCACAUCAUUUAGACUAAAAUGAAACCUCAAAUGAAACAGUUCUUAGAAGAACUCCGAGAGUCUAAAAAAAAUCUCCCCCAAAACUAUCUAUUGGGGGCUCUACUAAAAUUUUUCUCCCAAAAUCAUGUCAUCUCACAGCAGAUCCCUAAUAAUAAACUCCCCAAUACUUCAAAACUAGCUAU